AUGGAUGAAAAGUGGAAGCUAUCAAAGAAGGAAAAAAGUUCAACCUCAUCAACAAAAUCAUCAAUAUUCUCAAGAAGCUGUUCAACAAGAGGCUCUAGUUCAAAGUCACCACUACUUUCAAAGAGCUUAUCACAAAAGUGUUCUUCUACAUCGAAUAACAACAACAAUGAUAAUCUUUCUAGAAGCUACUCACAGAAGAGUCCAUCCAUAGGUAAGAAAUGUACCAAUAUAGCUAAAGAACAGAAAGCAAGAUUUUACAUCAUGAGGAGAUGUGUAGCUAUGUUAGUUUGUUGGCACAAACAUGGAGAUAAAUAG